rnacentral:rRNA from 1 species
GACGAAGGUGGCGAGCGUUGUUCGGAAUCACUGGGCAUAAAGCGCACGUAGGCGGUCCGCUAAGUUGGAUGUGAAAGCCCUCGGCCCAACCGAGGAACUGCGUCCAAAACUGACGGACUUGAGGAUUGGAGAGGUGCAUGGAAUUCCUGGUGGAGCGGUGAAAUGCGUUGAUAUCAGGAGGAACACCGGAGGCGAAGGCGAUGCACUGGCCGAUUUCUGACGCUGAGGUGCGAAAGCCAGGGGAGCAAACGGG